GCACUAGACGUUGGGCAGCGAGCCUAGAGUUGUAAAUGCAGUCGUUGACGCUGACGCCUUUGUAGGAGGAACCAACGAGGGUCAGAGGACAAACUCAAUCUUGGUGCACGGCAUUUGUGUCCGCACUUCGGCCCCGUUUCGCUGCACGACUUCGCUGAGUUUCUCAGCAAGACACUGAAGCCCUCCUGUAGAAUGAGAUUGAUCAGCACUAAACCUAUGAGAUGCUGAGCAACAACAGGAACUAUCAGUGACUGACAUCUCAGAUGAUCAGGGAGGUCCUUUGUCCACAUCCCGUGAUUUCCUGGAUAUUUGUUUGCACGCGACAAAGAAGGCGUCGCCUUAACGGAGGACUUCGCUUAUAAGUCGACUUCGUUACUCAGUCCGUGGACACGACACCAGGUUUUGGUACCCUGGCGUAUCCUGAGUACUAUAGACUGGGUUCAGGGAGGAAUUCGACGUGUUGCUGGCUGACAGAGACGGACUCUAAUUGGAUCUCCAGUACCUCCAAAGAGAUUUAAAAGCGCGCCCCACGAGCCGACCCAGACAGACUGUUGACUGCACACGCGACGGCUACGUAGUUCAUCAACCGACUUGCUAUCUACUGUAGCACACCAAUCACCGUACGUGCAAUAGGAAGAGCGUGUUUCCAAUCUUUUCAACGAAGUGUGACAUCCAAAAAGGCGAGCCCCACGAGCCGACCCAGACAGACUGUUACCUGCACUGCACACGACGGCUACGUAGUUCUUCAACUGACUUGAUAUCUACUGUAGCACACUCGGUCACCGUACGCGCAACAGAAAGAGCGGCUUUCCCCACGAAGUUUGACAUCCAAAUAGAAAAGAUGGCGGAAAUAUCACUCCCCAAGCUCCUGGUGCUUGUUGCCAUAUCAACUCUUCUCACCUUAACCCUGAACAGCGCCUCCGACGGGUUUCCAGUGGAUCCAGUGCCUCAAGCACGUUCGGACGACUGCUCCGUCUGCAUUGGCGCGCACGGCGCCGACGACCCUGCGUGUGAGGUAUUAUGCCCGCGGCGCGAGAAGGGUAAAUUUGGCGGAUUUACAUUCGGGUGAGUUAGAAAACAAAAAUAGUAAAAACAAUGUGUGGCGCGCUCCAUAAAACAAAAAUAACAUAGGUACAUGUUACUGACUAUAGUAACUGAACAUUUUGAGAAAUGUGUACACUGUAACCACCAGUUAUCUCUAUUUUUGGUAGACACAUGCACCAGCAAAUACAGCUGUCCACUACUAAUCAUCUACCGAUACGCAUUGAUUAACACUUUUAGAUACUUACCAUGGACGAACGAAAAGUUGCAACGGAAAACAGACACAAAUCAGCGUCAUCAUUUCAGAAAAUAAAACUUGAUAUGUUCCUCGUAUACACAAAGAAACUGACUUAAAGUCUUGACUCAAGUUAUUUCAAUUUCAAUUUGCAUUUGAAUGCCUGUGUGUAAUCUUUGGUUCUCACUUGCCUGAACAGCUUGGGAGAGUUUAGCAUUAACAGCUGUAAAAAUGCUCUUGUAGUAAAACAUGCAUACAUUCUAAUAACAUGGAUCAUUUUUUUACAUGAGUUUAUGAACUGCUCGUUUAACACAUGCUUCAUUGCAUUGGUGUGUCAAAUUUAACUGCCUUUUAAGGGGAAAAUCAUUUAUCCAUGUCACUUCCUUUCUCACUCACCUUGUACUAGAGGGCACUAUGUAGACAAUUUAUAGGCCAUACGUCUUGGCCAAUCAUAAUUGCUCUUGUUGAUGAUAAUACGCCUACCUGAUUCUAACAAAGAUGUAUUCUCAGUGGAAAAGGUUGGCGCUUUUAAAAUAUAAUUAUAUCUUUAAAAUACUCUUUGGUGUUCUAUAACUUUUACAUUAUUGGGGUAAUGAUUUGCUGUUUCGUAACAGAAAUUGUGAUUAAAACGUUAGUUAUAAUUACUAUAAAGAACUUGUCCAGCUUAUUAUCAACUUCCGAUCAGAACAAAAACUACUUAUAAGUAGUUUUUG